UCUUAUGCCCAUAUUUCCCUGAACAUGUCCCACUUUGUCUAAUCUCUGAAGCUAAGCAGAGUCAGGCCUGGUUAGUACUAGGAUGGGAAAAAGAGUGAGACAGAGAGAUAGGGA
rnacentral:rRNA from 1 species